GUGACCCUGCUGGUUCCAAUUUUAGGCUAUCAAAUCAAGAUAGAGGAUGUCUUCACAAAUUGAGGAGCUGAUUCUCUAAGAGAGGAGUGGUAAUCAGUUUGCUCUCUUCUGGUGGAGAACCUCUCAAGAAUGCUACUGAGUUCUGAUAAAGUGAUCACAAGUUUGGGCAAGAGAAUUUAAACCUUUUG